AUUGAACGCUGGCGGCAUGCCUUACACAUGCAAGUCGAACGGCAUCGCGGGAAAGCUUGCUUUCCUGGCGGCGAGUGGCGAACGGGUGAGUAACACAUCGGAACGUACCGGCUAGGGGGGGAUAACCCGUCGAAAGACGGGCUAAUACCGCAUACGCUCUUCGGAGGAAAGCAGGGGACCUUUGGGCCUUGCGCUAGCCGAGCGGCCGAUGUCCGAUUAGCUAGUUGGUGGGGUAAAGGCCUACCAAGGCGACGAUCGGUAGCGGGUCUGAGAGGACGAUCCGCCACACUGGGACUGAGACACGGCCCAGACUCCUACGGGAGGCAGCAGUGGGGAAUCUUGGACAAUGGGGGCAACCCUGAUCCAGCAAUGCCGCGUGGGUGAAGAAGGCCUUCGGGUUGUAAAGCCCUUUCGGCAGGGAAGAAAUCGGCGGGGCGAAUAACCCUGCUGGAUGACGGUACCUGCAGAAGAAGCACCGGCUAACUACGUG
rnacentral:rRNA from 1 species